rnacentral:lncRNA from 1 species
UUUUUUCAAUUUACUUAUAUAGAGUGUUCCGUGCAACUACAUUUCUAGAACUUGCAUUGUUUCUUUAUUGUUGAUUGAUCUUUGUCAUAUACACACUGAGGCAAAAGUGCUUGGUCCUGUGAGCCUUUUGAAGCCUACCCUGAUUCUAAUUGAAAUUUAUCCUUUUUGAAAGCCAAAUUGAACCGGUAUGUUUAGAUCUUUUUGUUCGGUGACAAACUACAU